AGUCUUGUAGCUUAGUGGUUAGAGUGCUCGCCUCGAAAGCGAGAGGACCCAGGUUCGAUCCCCGGGCAGGGUGA